rnacentral:lncRNA from 1 species
GCGUGUGUGUGAGCCACGACAUACUCCACUUCCUCCUGUGCCAUGGAAGCUAAGCUCUGAUCACUCGGUUCGAAGAUGCAUGUUUCAAUUUUUGUCAGCAACGUGAAACCUGAGAUAUGUUGAUUUGACGUUGCACUUUACAGUGCAGAGAUGUGGGUCAUUUCCAUUGCCCCCUGUGUAGCAAAACCAUUCUCAGAAAACCUGAUAUGAAAGUACAGUUUUUAUUCCUGGG